rnacentral:rRNA from 1 species
CAGCCGCCGCGGUAAUACCGGCGGCCCGAGUGGCGGUCACUAUUAUUGGGCUUAAAGCGUCCGUAGCCGGGUUGGGAAGUCCUCCGGGAAAUCUGGCCGCUUAACGGUCAGAAUGCCGGAGGAUACUCCCAGCCUAGGGAGCGGGAGAGGCCGAGGGUAUUCCCGGAGUUGGGGUGGAAUCCUAUAAUCCCGGGAGGACCACCUGUGGCGAAGGCGCUCGGCUGGAACGCGUCCGACGGUGAGGGACGAAGGCCAGGGGAGCAAACCGGAUUAGAUACCCGGGUAGUCCUGGCUGUAAACGAUGCGGACUUUGUGUCGGACAAGCUAUGAGCUUGUCCGGUGCCGGAGGGAAACCGUUAAGUCCGCCGCCUGGGGAGUACGGCCGCAAGGCUGAAACUUAAAGGAAUUGGCGGG